UCUCUGAUAGGAGGGUUUACUCAAAGAGGAGGUUGGAAAUAAUCAGCCUGACUGCUGAUACAUAGAAGAAAACAUAGCGAUUCAUAGCAACAAGAUUAUGAUCUGAUAUUCUUCAAUAUAACCAAACACUCAAAGAACACAAAAUGAUCAUCUUAUAUCUAAGCAUUACUUUUAACACACUUCUGGUUUCAGGUUCCUCCUUUAGUGACCAAGUCCACCAGACUCCAGCUGACAUUUACAAAGAAACUGGAGAAACAGCCCAAAUCAGCUGUUUACACAGUAUUGACAGCUACAACCAAAUCCUCUGGUACAAGCAAUCAAAGGACAGAAAGCUACAGUUGUUGGGAUACAUGGUGGGAGAGAGUGGAAACCCAGAGAAGGGAGUGAAUGUGAAGAUAGAAGGAAAUGCAAACAAAGGCCAGACCUGCACAUUAACAACUGAAGAACUCAGUCUGAACAGCAGUGCAGUUUACUUCUGUGCUGCUAGUUUACACAGUGAUACAUAUCACUGCUCCUCAGUACAAAAACCUCCUCAUCACACAUUUUUUAUCUCUGUAUUACAGCUCACAGCCUGAUGCACCUGUACUCCUUCCUCUCAGUAGAUGGUGGUAUAUCUUUACUCAGACCUUUAUACUGAGCAAGUGGUGUUUAGUGGUAGUUGACAUGAUGGUUAUAUUUAAGAGGAGGAGGAGGACACAUUAUGACACCGCCCACCUAAAGACUUCAUGUUGAUUUGCUGACAGGAGGGUUUACUCAAAGAGGAGGUUGGAAAAAUCAGCAUAACUGCUGAUACACUGAAGAAUAAUGAUUCAUAGUAAACAAGAUUAUGAUCUGAUAUUCUUCAAUUAAACCAAAUACCUAGAAUAGAACACAAAAUGAUCGUCUUAUACCUAAGCAUCACUUUUAACAUACUUCUGGUUUCAGGUUCCUCUCUCAGUGACAAGGUCCACCAGACUCCAGCUGACAUGUACAACAAACCAGGAGAAACAGCCAAAAUCAGCUGUUCACACAGUGUGGACAACUACAACCAAAUCCUCUGGUACAAGCAAUCAAAGGACAGAAA